rnacentral:rRNA from 1 species
AUUACCUCAGUAACGGCGAGUGAAGCGGUAACAGCUCAAAUUUGAAAUCUGGCUCUUUCAGGGUCCGAGUUGUAAUUUGUAGAAGAUGCUUUGGGUGUGGCUCUAGUCUAAGUUCCUUGGAACAGGACGUCAUAGAGGGUGAGAAUCCCGUAUGUGAUUAGGCGCCUUCGCCCGUGUAAAGCUCUUUCGACGAGUCGAGUUGUUUGGGAAUGCAGCUCAAAAUGGGUGGUAAAUUUCAUCUAAAGCUAAAUAUUGGCCAGAGACCGAUAGCGCACAAGUAGAGUGAUCGAAAGAUGAAAAGCACUUUGGAAAGAGAGUUAAACAGUACGUGAAAUUGUUGAAAGGGAAGCGCUUGCAACCAGACUCGCAUGCCGUCGAUCAUCCUGUGUUCUCACUGGUGCACUCGGCGGCCUUCGGGCCAGCAUCGGUUUGGGUGGUGGGAUAAAGGCCUUGGGAAUGUAGCUCCUCUCGGGGAGUGUUAUAGCCCUCGGUGCAAUGCCGCCUACCUGGACCGAGGACCGCGCUUCGGCUAGGAUGC